rnacentral:rRNA from 1 species
AUCGAACGCUGGCGGCAGGCUUAACACAUGCAAGUCGAACGGAUGAACGCUGCUUGCUUCUGGUUCUAGCGUGGCACGCGUGUGAAUAGCCUGUGAAUAUCCCUCGUUGGGCGUUAUAAUGACUUCAGACGGCUGCUGAUAAUGCAGGCGUCCUGAGGCAGCUGCAGGGGGAUGGUCGGAAAGUAUGCUAGCAUGUGGCCGUAGGCCGGAUUAGCUAGUUGGUGGGGUAAAGGCCUACUAACGCGACGAUCCGUAACUGGUCUGAGAGGAUGAUCUGUCACACUGGAACUGAGACACGGUCCAGACUCCUACGGGAGGCAGCAGUGGGGAAUAUUGGACAAUGGGCGAAAGCCUGAUCCAGCCAUGCCGCGUGUGUGAAGAAGGUCUUCGGAUUGUAAAGCACUUUAAGUUGGGAGGAAGGGCAGUAAGUUAAUACCUUGCUGUUUUGACGUUACCAACAGAAUAAGCACCGGCUAACUUCGUG